CGCGUAGGCCAUCCGAUCUCAUAGAUGAAUCUGAGCUGUCCAUCUUGAGGGUUUUCUCCUCUUCUUCAGCAAACCCUUGAGAAUAGGUCGCCGUUUGCUUCCAUUCUUCCCUUGAUUUUCCAGCGUUUCCUCUCUCUUGGGUCCUCGUCUGAGCUGCGAGGAGCAUGGAUUCCCCGACCUUCAUGUGCUCCGACGAAGCCAAUCGUUGGCUUUCCUCCUGGACGGCGAGCUGGAAAAUCCGGUCGAGCACCGGCAUCGGCUCCAUUGCUAGGAUCUGGGAGCGAAAAGUUAGGUAUGUCUCGUUCAAAAUCAAAAGAAACCGAGUAGCUUUCUCCCUUUCUUUGAUAGAUCUAUACUGUUUCAGUGUUGAUUCCGGUCCCUCGAGCUUCUCCUCUGCUACCUCCAGUUUGUUCCAAAGUGACGAGAGCUUGUUGAAGCAAGCUGUGACCGUCAUAUUCCCUUGUUUCAGCUCACUGAGUUCCUGCAUUAGGGAAAUUUUUUUCGCUCGGUCUAAUUUCCCGUACAUUUCUUUGAUGUUUUCCCACAUGCACUUCGAGUCCUCGGUCGGAGGAAGUCCGGCCACGACUUCUGGAGAAAUGCAAUUGCCGAUCCAUGUUCGGACGAGUUGAUUACAUUUCCUCCAGUGUCGCGCCAGACGAUCGUCGGCGGGAAUUGAGACGGUUCUGUCGAGGAACCCGUCUUUGUCCUUCGUCACCAGGGCUCGUCGGAAUUCCUAGGACCACCUGGAAUAAUUUUCUGGUCCGGACAAUUGCUUGCUGAUGAGUCUCAGCUCCGGUCCGUCGGCGGUGGAGGUAUACAAAGGGUCGUUGGGCUCCGGGCGACCAUGGUGGGCAGGAACCGAGAACGGCCACAAUUCAGGUUGCAAUCCCGAGUUGGGAUUUGUUCCUUGACCCGACCCAUCGGAUUCGUAUGCUUGACCCAGAUGGUACAUCCCAGGCUCGGGGGUUGAGCUUGCCCUAACAUUAGCUGGUGGGCUCCCUUCAGCCUGGGUGUGUUCUCCGAAGCCUUGAAAGUUUUAGGCCUGAUUUGUUGGUCCUUGGAAAUUGUACCAUGGGUUCGAAUGAUUCGGCCCAUACCAGAGUGGAUUGAAUGGGCCUUGCAUCGGUACCCAUUGGAUAGGCUGGCCCAAAUUGGGUUGCCCCUGGUUUGGUUGAAUUUGGGCAGGAUCUCGUAGGUUGGAUUUGUUCGAUGGACUCUUGACUUGAUCUGACUUCAGUUGGAUCUUGGGGUAUUGGUUCCUGACGCGAGUCCUCAUGAGACGUAUUCUCCAGACUUCCUUCUGGAAACGGUUCUUCAGAUUUUGAAGAAUUCUUCGGCAUGGUAUUGAUUAGUUUUCUUGCAACAACAAGGAUACAAAAACACGGGAAGGCAAUCAGGAAGAAAAUUUUCGAAAUUUUGCGGAAGCUAAGUAUGAACGAGGCUCUGAUACCAUGACACGAAAUGAAGAAGAAAGAAGGAACUUGAAGAAUUUCUUUGUAUUCAGUAUGCUUUUGAUAUGUACUCUUUACAUGUAUUUAUAUUACAAAGUGUAAACAAUAAAAAGAGAAUACAAAGAUAUGAAAUCAUUCUAAA